AGUCACUGACAUUAGGAUACCCCGGUAGUCCAGGGUGUAAACGCUGCAGACUUGGUGUUUGGGGGGCCCUUUGGGGGCAUUCAGUGCCGGAGAGAAGUUGUUAAGUCUGCUACUUGGGGAGUACGUCCGCAAGGAUGAAAUUUAAAGGAAUUGGCGGGGGAGCACCGCAACGGGAGGAGCGUGCGGUUUAAUUGGAUUCAACACCGUAAACUCACCAGGGAAGACUGUUACAUGAAGGCCGAGAUGAAGACUCUGCUAGAUUUUCAG
rnacentral:rRNA from 1 species